AUCCUUCAGUUCAUGACUGAUGACUGGGUGUUCAUGCCAUACGCAUGAGAUGCACCUCCGUCAGACCAUGCUGUGCUGCGACACAUUACCCAUCUGAUG